rnacentral:pre_miRNA from 1 species
AAGCCUAUUCAUGAUCCUUUUGCAUCGUGCAUCGUGCAUGGCCUUGGCGGGACGUACAGCAAGAUGGAACGU